rnacentral:rRNA from 1 species
GACGAACGCUGGCGGCGUGCCUAAUACAUGCAAGUAGAACGCUGAAGAGAGGAGCUUGCUCUUCUUGGAUGAGUUGCGAACGGGUGAGUAACGCGUAGGUAACCUGCCUUGUAGCGGGGGAUAACUAUUGGAAACGAUAGCUAAUACCGCAUAACAAUGGAUGACACAUGUCAUUUAUUUGAAAGGGGCAAUUGCUCCACUACAAGAUGGACCUGCGUUGUAUUAGCUAGUAGGUGAGGUAACGGCUCACCUAGGCGACGAUACAUAGCCGACCUGAGAGGGUGAUCGGCCACACUGGGACUGAGACACGGCCCAGACUCCUACGGGAGGCAGCAGUAGGGAAUCUUCGGCAAUGGGGGCAACCCUGACCGAGCAACGCCGCGUGAGUGAAGAAGGUUUUCGGAUCGUAAAGCUCUGUUGUAAGUCAAGAACGAGUGUGAGAGUGGAAAGUUCACACUGUGACGGUAGCUUACCAGAAAGGGACGGCUAACUACGUGCCAGCAGCCGCGGUAAUACGUAGGUCCCGAGCGUUGUCCGGAUUUAUUGGGCGUAAAGCGAGCGCAGCGGUUUGAUAAGUCUGAAGUUAAGGCUGUGGCUCAACCAUAGUUCGCUUUGGAAACUGUCAAACUUGAGUGCAGAAGGGGAGAGUGGAAUUCCAUGUGUAGCGGUGAAAUGCGUAGAUAUAUGGAGGAACACCGGUGGCGAAAGCGGCUCUCUGGUCUGUAACUGACGCUGAGGCUCGAAAGCGUGGGGAGCGAACAGGAUUAGAUACCCUGGUAGUCCACGCCGUAAACGAUGAGUGCUAGGUGUUGGAUCCUUUCCGGGAUUCAGUGCCGCAGCUAACGCAUUAAGCACUCCGCCUGGGGAGUACGACCGCAAGGUUGAAACUCAAAGGAAUUGACGGGGGCCCGCACAAGCGGUGGAGCAUGUGGUUUAAUUCGAAGCAACGCGAAGAACCUUACCAGGUCUUGACAUCCCGAUGCUAUUUCUAGAGAUAGAAAGUUACUUCGGUACAUCGGUGACAGGUGGUGCAUGGUUGUCGUCAGCUCGUGUCGUGAGAUGUUGGGUUAAGUCCCGCAACGAGCGCAACCCCUAUUGUUAGUUGCCAUCAUUCAGUUGGGCACUCUAGCGAGACUGCCGGUAAUAAACCGGAGGAAGGUGGGGAUGACGUCAAAUCAUCAUGCCCCUUAUGACCUGGGCUACACACGUGCUACAAUGGUUGGUACAACGAGUUGCGAGUCGGUGACGGCAAGCUAAUCUCUUAAAGCCAAUCUCAGUUCGGAUUGUAGGCUGCAACUCGCCUACAUGAAGUCGGAAUCGCUAGUAAUCGCGGAUCAGCACGCCGCGGUGAAUACGUUCCCGGGCCU